rnacentral:rRNA from 1 species
GACGAACGCUGGCGGCGUGCUUAACACAUGCAAGUCGAGCGGUAAGGCCCUUUCGGGGGUACACGAGCGGCGAACGGGUGAGUAACACGUGGGUGACCUGCCCUCAGCUCUGGGAUAAGCCUGGGAAACCGGGUCUAAUACCGGAUAUGACUCCAUGACGCAUGUUGUGGGGUGGAAAGCCUUGUGCGGCUGAGGAUGGGCCCGCGGCCUAUCAGCUUGUGGUGGGGUGAUGGCCUACCAAGGCGACGACGGGUAGCCGGCCUGAGAGGGCGACCGGCCACACUGGGACUGAGACACGGCCCAGACUCCUACGGGAGGCAGCAGUGGGGAAUCUUGCGCAAUGGGCGAAAGCCUGACGCAGCGACGCCGCGUGAGGGAUGACGGCCUCGGUGUAACUACUUCUAGCUCGACGAACGACGACGAGUGGACGGUAGGAGGCGAGAAGAAGACGACCGGACCGAACC